AUUGAAAAAUUCUGGAAAUUCUUGAAUUCUCGGUUCUUCGAACCGUAAAUAACCGCGCCCCAAGUUGUAGUCACGUUUAUUGGGCCUAAAGCGUCCGUAGCUGGUUUGAUAAGUCUCUGGUGAAAUCCAGCAGCAAACUGUUGGAACGGCUGGAGAUACUAUCAGACUUGAGACCGGGAGAGGUUGGGAGUAUUUCACGGGUAAGAGUAAAAUCUUUUAAUCCGUGAAGGACUACCUGUGGUGAAGGCUCCUAACUGGAACGGGUCUGACAGUGAGGUACGAAAGCCCGUUGUCUUUCUUUCAUUCUCCCCCCUCCCCCCUCUUCCCCUUUCAU
rnacentral:rRNA from 1 species